UACGUAGGGUGCAAGCGUUACUCGGAAUUACUGGGCGUAAAGCGUGCGCAGGCGGCUUUGCAAGACAGAUGUGAAAUCCCCGGGCUUAACCUGGGAACUGCAUUUGUGACUGCAUGGCUAGAGUGCGGCAGAGGGGGAUGGAAUUCCGCGUGUAGCAGUGAAAUGCGUAGAUAUGCGGAGGAACACCGAUGGCGAAGGCAGUCCCCUGGGCCUGUACUGACGCUCAUGCACGAAAGCGUGGGGAGCAAACAGG
rnacentral:rRNA from 1 species